UACAGAGGAGGCAAGCGUUGUUCGGAAUUACUGGGCGUAAAGGGCGCGUAGGCGGCCAUCUAAGUCAGACGUGAAAUCCCCCGGCUUAACCUGGGAACUGCGUCUGAUACUGGACGGCUUGAGUUUGGGAGAGGGAUGCAGAAUUCCAGGUGUAGCGGUGAAAUGCGUAGAUAUCUGGAGGAAUACCGGUGGCGAAGGCGGCAUCCUGGACCAACACUGACGCUGAGGCGCGAAAGCUAGGGGAGCAAACGGG
rnacentral:rRNA from 1 species